AGAUGCUGAUUCAGGCAGUCUGGCCUGGGACCCAAGAUGGUGCAUAGAUAACAAGCUCCCAGGUGAUGCUAAUAUUUGGGGCAAGAUUUGG
ensembl:miRNA predicted gene, 44476